CUUCUCAUGCAACUCUCUUUCUCUCUAUCUCUCUCUCUCUAAUGGACAGGAAGACAAUGAUGGAGGCUAAAAAGUUGGACUUGGUGCCACGAAGGGCAAUGGCAAGAAGCAACAAGAAGAGGUGCCUGGUGGUUCUUCCUGUUAGAGGAAGAAUCAAGCGCAAGAUUUUCGCCCUCUUGUAUAAGAAACUGAAGCUCACAAGCCUACAUGCCGUUCGUUACCUGCUUAGCAACAACAACCCCAACUACAGGGUAACGUUCUAGUUAUCAGUAUCAUGCUUUAUCAGCAGAUUAACGAGAAGAAGUACUGGACCAAAGCUUGAAGAAAGAGCAUCAAUAAUUGGGAAGAACACAAAUCUUACUGGCAGUGAUAUAUAUAUAGCCUAUGCACAAUAAUGUAAGAACACUAAUAAAGAAGAGAUCUUAUACUUCUCCCAUCUUUAGGGGCUUCUUUUUCAUUUUACUUCAAUAAAAUUUGAACUAUUGACCUA